AACAAUUGUCCCUGCCUAUGUCAUAAGGCCCCCACAAGAAACCAGUAACUGAAGGGCUUUGGAGAGCUGCUGGGUUGGUGGCCACAUGGAGGAGCUGGGAGGGUGGCACACCUGGAGAGGGUGUGGAAGCUCUGGUUGCCUCCACCAUCUUUUCCUGCUGUUCCUGAGUUGUAUCCUUUUAUUACAAAUCUACAACCUGGUAGCAAACUGUUUUGCUGAGCUCCAUGAACUGCUCUAGCAAAUCACCAAACCUGAACAGGGGCUCAGGGGAACCUCUGAUUUAUAACUGGUGGAUCAGAACCACAGGUGGCAACCUGGACUUGUGACCGGUGUCUGACGUCUGUGGGCGUGGUGUUGUGGGACUGCCUGAGCCCUUAACUUGUGGAAUCUGAUGCUAACCUCAGGUAGAAAGUGUCAGAAUUGACUCAAAUUAGAGGACACCCAGUCAGUAAAUGAUGAGAACUGGAGAACUGAUGGAUGUGUGGAGGAAAAAUAAUCCCACAUACUUGGUGUCAGAAAUGUGCUGACAUUGGUUUCAGAAGGAUGUAUAAUUGGACCAGUUCUUGAUAAGCCUGAAUCUUUAUGUGCUGCGUGUCUGUAAGCUGCCCUCUCAAAGAUCUGCUCUCCUCACAUGAUGCAGAAAGAAAAUGAUGUGGACAGAGAGAGAAAUGUCACAAUCUACGCUCAGCUGGUCUGGAUUAUCCAACUUCUGAGGUGUAUCCGUCGGCUGUCCCUGUAUCCCAUUAUAAAUCAUCUCCUUGUUGAACAUCAGGCCAGACUGGGGUCUGAUUCAUUGGCUGAAUGUGGCUACCUGGCUCCAGGAGGAGCCUCUGUCUCAGUCCUGUAAUAGUCAUCAUGCUUUAAGAAACCUUCACAUUUCUGAACAGUUACAUAGUGUCCUCAGCUGAAGAAAGAGGAUGUCUGGAGUCCAUUUCCGGCAGUUAGCAGGGAGCUGUUUUCCUCUCUCUGACAUUAGCAAGGUUUUUAUUCCAUGCCUUUGGGGACAGCGACAGUCAACACCAACCUGUGGCAUGGGAUGGAUUUCUAUCAAAAGCCUCUGUGAAUGUGCUCUGAGAAGUUUCUACAGAGUCUAACAGGGCCUCACUCUGUCACCCAGCUUGGGGUGCAGUGGCACAAUCUGAGCUCACUGGAAUCUCAAACGCUUGGGCUCUUGAGUUUGAAAUACAGCAAAGAAAAAUGUCAGUGCUCCCGCCUAUGGAGUCACCAACUCUUCAUAAAUCCAUUCCAAAUAGAUCAUCAAGGACACUUGUAACAGAGACGUUUUCCACACCAUGGCAUGUUCCCGAAGACUCAAAGUUGGUCAGAGAGACUAAACAAGGACAGCGCGGACCCUUUUUUGAAGCUGUUUUUCUAUUUUUAAAAUGCAGUUCAAAAGAUAUUGGAAAACUUUCAAAGGUUUAUUCUUUCUCUCUUGCUGAACUUUUAAGGAGAGGUACAAUAGAAUACGUAGUACACUUGUAAUCAGAACUGGGUUUAGGUCUUAAUUCUGCUACUUAUGAUCGACAUGUUUUGGGAUAUGUUAUCUAGCCUUUUGCAUACAAAUGUACUCAGAAAAUAAACAGACAUUUGUGCUGCUUAAUUCCUAUGACUGUUAAACAGAAAGAUGCAAAACUGGUCACAGCCGGGUCUCUCAGACUAAUGUCUACAUUCCUGUUUAUGUUUUUAUUUGAGUUCUUAUUGUACAAAUUGUUAAUAGAAGGACCUGGUAGCUAUGUGAGAUAUUGAAAAUGCAAUUGGUUAUAACUUUAAUAUGUAUAAGAGUUGGGUGGUCCAGGAUGAUGAGACAGUGCAGCCUUCCAUCAAGUUCAAACGUGUUUAGAAGUAGGCAGAAAAUAUACCUCCAUCACUUAAGAUGCAAGGAAACAGAAAUCUAAUGAGGUAAUCAACCUAAGUUCAAGUUACAGAUGUCUAUGAGUAGAAACAAGAAUGAGGCAAUGUAUGAGACUUGAAUUUAGAGGUCUUGAAGCAUGUGAAAACCUCCUUUGAAUUAUAGAAUCACUGACAUAAAAAUUAUCAAUAGGGUUUAAUACAUCACAUCAAAGUUGCUGACAAGAAUUCCGUUAGCAAUCCUGUCUGAAAUUUUUCUUUUUGCAACCCCAAGUGUGCUGAGAAAGCAAUGCCACAUCAUACAUGGGAUUAUAUAAUAGUAUCCUUAAUUGGCAGAAAGAAUUGUCCUGAAUGCAUGCAACUCUCUAUGUAUCUUAUGCCCAUUAGAAGUUUUGAUUAAAUUCACAUCAGUUACUCAAAAGGGUAAAUAUCCUCCUUAGUGGUAAGUAUCUCAUAACUCUGAAAAGAGUUAGAAUUCAGAAUUGAAAUGUAGAAGAGGUCGGGCACGGUGGCUCAGGUCUGUAAUCC